CCUACGGGUGGCAGCAGUGAGGAAUAUUGGUCAAUGGGCGGGAGCCUGAACCAGCCAAGUCGCGUGAGGGAAGACGGUCCUACGGAUUGUAAACCUCUUUUGCCGGGGAGCAACGGGGUCCUUGCGAGGGCCCAAUGAGAGUACCCGGAGAAAAAGCAUCGGCUAACUCCGUGCCAGCAGCCGCGGUAAUACGGAGGAUGCGAGCGUUAUCCGGAUUUAUUGGGUUUAAAGGGUGCGUAGGCGGUCGGAUAAGUUAGAGGUGAAAUCCCGAGGCUCAACUUCGGAAUUGCCUCUGAUACUGUUCGGCUAGAGAGUAGUUGCGGUAGGCGGAAUGUAUGGUGUAGCGGUGAAAUGCUUAGAGAUCAUACAGAACACCGAUUGCGAAGGCAGCUUACCAAGCUACUUCUGACGUUGAGGCACGAAAGCGUGGGGAGCAAACAGGAUUAGAUACCCCGGUAGUC
rnacentral:rRNA from 1 species